rnacentral:rRNA from 1 species
UACGUAGGGUCCGAGCGUUGUCCGGAAUUACUGGGCGUAAAGAGCUCGUAGGUGGUUUGUCGCGUUGUUCGUGAAAACUCACAGCUUAACUGUGGGCGUGCGGGCGAUACGGGCAGACUGGAGUACUGCAGGGGAGACUGGGAAUUCCUGGUGUAGCGGUGGAAUGCGCAGAUAUCAGGAGGAACACCGGUGGCGAAGGCGGGUCUCUGGGCAGUAACUGACGCUGAGGAGCGAAAGCGUGGGGGAGCGAACAGG